CGGCGGGCGGGUGAGUAACACGUGGAUAACCUACCUAUAAGACUGGGAUAACUUCGGGAAACCGGAGCUAAUACCGGAUAAUAUAUUGAACCGCAUGGUUCAAUAGUGAAAGACGGUUUUGCUGUCACUUAUAGAUGGAUCCGCGCCGCAUUAGCUAGUUGGUAAGGUAACGGCUUACCAAGGCGACGAUGCGUAGCCGACCUGAGAGGGUGAUCGGCCACACUGGAACUGAGACACGGUCCAG
rnacentral:rRNA from 1 species